GACGAACGCUGGCGGCGUGGAUUAGGCAUGCAAGUCGAACGGUAUCAUCCUUUCGGGGGUGAGAGAGUGGCGAACUGGUGAGUAACACGUAGGUUAUCUACCCUCAAGACGGGGGACAACCCAGGGAAACUUGGGCUAAUACCGGAUGUGAGCAACUUUUAGUUGUUUGAAAGGUGGCGUAAGCUGUCGCUUGGGGAUGAGCCUGCGUCCUAUUAGUUAGUUGGUGAGGUAACGGCUCACCUAGGCAAUGAUAGGUAGGCGGCCUUAACGGGUGGUCGCCCACACUGGGAUUGAGAUACGGCCCAGACUCCUACGGGAGGCAGCAGUCGAGAAUAGUCUACAAUGGUCGGAAGACUGAUAGUGCGACGCCGCGUGAACGAUGAAUCCCUUCGGGGUGUAAAGUUCUUUUAUAUGUGAGCAGUGCUUCUUAUAUUAACAGUAUGGGGAAGAGAUAUUAGCAUAUGAAUAAGCAACGGCUAAACUCCGUGCCAGCAGCCGCGGUAA
rnacentral:rRNA from 1 species